rnacentral:rRNA from 1 species
GACGAACGCUGGCGGCGUGCUUAACACAUGCAAGUCGAACGGAAAGGCCCUGCUUUUGUGGGGUGCUCGAGUGGCGAACGGGUGAGUAACACGUGAGUAACCUGCCCUUGACUUUGGGAUAACUUCAGGAAACUGGGGCUAAUACCGGAUAGGAGCUCCUGCUGCAUGGUGGGGGUUGGAAAGUUUCGGCGGUUGGGGAUGGACUCGCGGCUUAUCAGCUUGUUGGUGGGGUAGUGGCUUACCAAGGCUUUGACGGGUAGCCGGCCUGAGAGGGUGACCGGCGACAUUGGGACUGAGAUACGGCCCAGACUCCUACGGGAGGCAGCAGUGGGGAAUAUUGCACAAUGGGCGGAAGCCUGAUGCAGAAACGCCGCGUGCGGGAUGACGGCCUUCGGGUUGUAAACCGAUUUCGCAUGUGACGAAGCGUGAGUGGCGGUAAUGGGUAAAGAAGCACCGGCUAACUACGUG